GCGCCCGUGGUGAAACGGAUAUCAUGAUUGCCUUCGAAGCAAUUGUUCCGGGUUCGAAUCCUGGCGGGCGCG
rnacentral:tRNA from 1 species